GUGCUCACUUCAGCAGCACAUAUACUAAAAUUGGAAUGAUAUAGAGAAUAUUAGCAUGGCCUCAGUGCAAGGAUGGCAUGCAAAUUCGUGAAGUGUUCCAAGAGAAC